AGACGUCCACAUUAGAUACCCGUGUAGUCCCAGCCGUAAACUAUGCUCGCUAGGUGUCAGGCAUGGCGCGACCGUGUCUGGUGCCGCAGGGAAGCCGUGAAGCGAGCCACCUGGGAAGUACGGCCGCAAGGCUAGAAACUUAAAGGAAUUGGCGGGGGAGCACAACAACGGGUGGAGCCUGCGGUUUAAUUGGACUCAACGCCGGACAACUCACCGGGGACGACAGCAAUAUGUAGGCCAGGCUGAAGACCUUGCCUGAAUCGCUG
rnacentral:rRNA from 1 species